GCCACCUGAAGAGGCCGUGUGUAGGUGUUCCAGCUGAAAAUCCUAGCUGAGACCCCAGUGGACAGCCUGCAGCAAUCACUAGAUAGGAAGUUAUACUAUUCGCAAGCCAUUUCCUGUUAUUUGUGAGCAUCAAGAAUGGUGAAACUAGCCUUCAUCUUCUAUCAAUAUGCAUUUGUAAGACCUUCCUCUGUCCUCUUGUUGAAAACCUAGAGAGUAUUACUGAAGUGUCAAAGAUACACACACUUCAUUUGCUCCAACAUUAGCCCAGGACUAGAGUGAAGAGCGGUAAAUGUCUUCUCCAAGGCUUUCAAUAAAAUAACUUGUUUUUAUGUCUGCAA